UACGAAGGGGGCUAGCGUUGCUCGGAAUUACUGGGCGUAAAGCGCACGUAGGCGGCUUGUUAAGUCAGGGGUGAAAUCCUGGAGCUCAACUCCAGAACUGCCUUUGAUACUGAGGAUCUUGAGUACGGGAGAGAUGAGUGGAACUGCGAGUGUAGAGGUGAAAUUCGUAGAUAUUCGCAAGAACACCAGUGGCGAAGGCGGCUCACUGGCCCGUAACUGACGCUGAGGCACGAAAGCGUGGGGAGCAAACAGG
rnacentral:rRNA from 1 species